AUUGAACGCUGGCGGCAUGCUUUACACAUGCAAGUCGAACGGCAGCGCGGGGCAACCUGGCGGCGAGUGGCGAACGGGUGAGUAAUAUAUCGGAACGUACCCAGAAGUGGGGGAUAACGUAGCGAAAGUUACGCUAAUACCGCAUACGAUCUACGGAUGAAAGUCGGGGACCGCAAGGCCUUAUGCUUUUGGAGCGGCCGAUAUCUGAUUAGCUAGUUGGUGAGGUAAAGGCUCACCAAGGCGACGAUCAGUAGCUGGUCUGAGAGGACGACCAGCCACACUGGAACUGAGACACGGUCCAGACUCCUACGGGAGGCAGCAGUGGGGAAUUUUGGACAAUGGGCGCAAGCCUGAUCCAGCAAUGCCGCGUGAGUGAAGAAGGCCUUCGGGUUGUAAAGCUCUUUUGUCAGGGAAGAAACGGUAGAGGCUAAUAUCCUUUGCUAAUGACGGUACCUGAAGAAUAAGCACCGGCUAACUACGUG
rnacentral:rRNA from 1 species